rnacentral:rRNA from 1 species
UUCAGAGGGGGACAACAGUUGGAAACGACUGCUAAUACCGCAUACGACCUGACCUCGGCAUCGAGGAUGGAUGAAAGGUGGCCUCUAUUUAUAAGCUAUCACUGAAGGAGGGGAUUGCGUCUGAUUAGCUAGUUGGAGGGGUAACGGCCCACCAAGGCGAUGAUCAGUAGCCGGUCUGAGAGGAUGAACGGCCACAUUGGGACUGAGACACGGCCCAG